rnacentral:ncRNA from 1 species
GAUCAAGAAGAUCAGUCGCAAGCCCUUCGGCAGACUGACUGGCAACCGCGCGUCGCGCACGGUGCCCCCGAAGGAAGAUCUGUCCCGGGUGGAAUUCGCCUCCGGGAAAGAGCGAUCA